rnacentral:lncRNA from 1 species
CCCGCUCGAGCUUUUCCAACACAUAAGCUCCUCUCAAACUCCAAAUCGCUAGGGCUUCUUCAGAGCUUUCGUUUCAUCUUCAGAGGAUUCAUUCGAAGUGCCAAGAAGAGGAGGAAGAAGAAGAAGAAGAAGAAGAAGAGGAGAUGGCGAUUUCAAGGAGUCGCAAGAUCAACGGGGGCACGUCGCGGAGGAUUUCGAGCCGUCCGAUCCCGAAGAGAGGGCAAGUGAAGAUGGGAAUCGUGUUGGGAUUGGCUCAUUCUUUCACUUCCAUCUUCUCUCUCAAUCUCAGAAACAGGCGGGCUUAGUUUUCUUAGUGACCAUCAUGCACUCACCAUAAGUUUUCUGCUUCUUUCUUUCUCAAUCCCAGAGAGAGAGAGAGAGAGAGAGAGAGAGAGAAGAUGGGCGUUUUGUUGCUGUAAUUCUGGAAGAAUUAGGAAACAACGGUUUGGUCUUGUAAAUAGGAGGUUUCUCUUUCAAUUUUGUACCCGUUUCUGUAGAAUGAAAUAUAAUUUUACACGGAUGAUUUAUGGUUCUCUUCUUCUCUAUUUCUCUUGUCUAUUGUACAGUUGAUAAGAAUACCGUAAGGUAUAUUAAGAUCGGUAUAUAAAAUUGGUAUAUGGAGUCAUGUGGUAGACCGUGAGCGAACAGACAAAUAGCUCAAUUUUAACACCCAAUUACAGUUUGCC